UACGUAGGGGGCAAGCGUUGUCCGGAUUUAUUGGGCGUAAAGAGCGUGUAGGCGGUUAGGUAGGUCCGUUGUGAAAACUCGAGGCUCAACCUCGAGACGCCGAUGGAAACCAUCUAACUAGAGUCCGGAAGAGGAGAAUGGAAUUCCUGGUGUAGCGGUGAAAUGCGCAGAUAUCAGGAAGAACACCCCGUGGCUAAGGCGGUUCUCUAGUACGGUACUGACGCUGAGACGCGAAAGCGUGGGGAGCGAACAGG
rnacentral:rRNA from 1 species